rnacentral:sRNA from 1 species
CAGACUUUGCUCGAUUAUCAUGUCUGUCC